UGUCCCAUUGCUUCAUUGCUAAAGAUAAGUUGGGUCUGGGUAGCUUUCAUCAAGGUGAAGCUACCUGGCAUUCUGCGCGUUCUUAGCAUCCCUCAAGGGGAUAGAGAGGCCAAAUGCCUGAGGCCGUUUUCUCUAGGUCUAAAGAGCCGGACACCUAAGUGUUGUCGGGUGUUAGCUAAAGAGCUGGACCAUGCAUGGGGUCUGGGGAGAGGCACUGGUUCUGGAGCCCAUGUUGGAGAACUGCAGGAGCUAAAGGAUGAGGUGGUGUGUUUGUAAUGGUGGCAUAAGAGGAUGUUGAUCACAAAAGCUAACAUACAUGGAGCUCCAGAUGGCGCAGGUGCUACGCAGCAUGUUUUACCUUCUGGAAAACUCCUACUUACCCUCUGUCUGGGCUGCAGAUCCACCACCUGCUGUAAAGGCUGCAGGUGCCAGAAGCCUCCUUCCUUAGAUCCCUCUGGGGCUAGACUAUGUAAGUGACUCCCCGACCCCAAUUUUCACCCAACAUUCAACCAUCUCAUAAUGCAAAAUGAAUUUAGUUCAUCUGGAGGAGUCCACUAAGUCUUAGUAGUUCUAACAUUGUUCAAAGGGCCAAAGUCCAACGUAUGCCUUGAGAUGUGAGGUAAUCUCUCAAUUGUAAGCCCCAUAAAAGAGUUUUCAUCUUUUCUGUUUACAGUGGCACUGAGUAAACAUCCCUAUUCCAAAGAGAGGAUACCAAGGGAACAUCAGACCAAAACAAUCCCAAAGCCCCGUCACAUGUGAACACCAGGGUUCAGGUCUACAAAAACGGCAACUGUUCCCAUACCAACCAUUCACCCGCUCCUCCAGGACUCUGGAAAAGGGGAAGGUUCCCAAAUGUUGUGGAGAAUCGUCACAAAGGCUAGACGUAGCAGUGAUGUCUGGGGUCCUUCCCACUAACUUGUAAGCUGACUGGGACCAGGAACUUCGUUGCCUCUGUCUUUGGAGGCCCCGUGCCUGGCACACGAACUCUGGGUCCGCAGCUGCUGCGGGGAAUCCAGGAGUGUUAGCCAGGCUCUACUCACAGCAGUCGGAGCCUCAGAAAUAUAACAGGGAGUUGAAACCAGCUUUAAAGAUAAAGUCUGCUCUUUGCGCUUAAAGCAAACAAAUGGGAUGAUUCCAAAGAAGUCUCCGUGUGCCUUUUCCAAUCUGGUCGUUCAUUGACGAGAAGAGAUGGACACAUUUGCUUCCUCCAUUAAACUCGGAAUGAGAAACUUGUGGAGAGAACUCUCUUUUUUCUUUCUUCUGGGUGAGUGAAGAGUUCUGCCCUGGACACACCCCUCAGCCAGAGACUUCCGCAGAGCCUGCUGCACCGCCCCCCAUGGAGAGUGACUGGAAGUACAGAGAGCUGGAGCCCUGGAGCCACGUUGCCACCCUGAGCAGAGAGCUUGGAGCUAUUAGGACCUUUAUGGGAAGCCUGAUAAAUGAAACUAACCUGGUAAAAGACAAGGACAGGACCCAAGACGCCGUGAGGGCGUCUAAACCUGGAAUCUACGUCUGAAUCCAGACCUGGCCUCCUCGAUUGUAUCUGUGCCCAAAGUUCUUUUCCUUAAGCCCUUCUGAGUUGCUUUCAACUGACUUUGUUCUAACUAGAGUCCAACUACCAGGUUUUAAAGCUACUCAUUCGGAGCCCCCCGAGCCCCCCGCCUCGUUUUAUUUGCCAAAGUCCCUGGAGUAACCAUCAAAUUAGUCCCAGAUGGUUUAUUAACAUCAGCCAAGUGCUUUCAAAAUAAAAAUAAAAAGCA